rnacentral:sRNA from 1 species
CUGACGGCCUCCAACCACGUGAGCAACGUCACCGUGAACUACAACGUCACCGUGGAGCGGAUGAACAGGAUGCAGGGCCUGCGGGUCUCCACAGUGCCGGCCGUGCUGUCCCCCAAUGCCACGCUGGCACUGACGGCGGGCGUGCUGGUGGACUCGGCCGUGGAGGUGGCCUUCCUGUGGACCUUUGGGGAUGGGGAGCAGGCUCUCCACCAGUUCCAGCCUCCGUACAACGAGUCCUUCCCGGUUCCAGACCCUCGGUGGCCCAGGUGCUGGUGGAGCACAAUGUCACGCACACCUACGCUGCCCCAGGUGCUGAUCCGGAGUGGCCGGGUGCCCAUUGUGUCCUUGGAGUGUGUGUCCUGCAAGGCACAGGCCGUGUACGAAGUGAGCCGCAGCUCCUACGUGUACCUGGAGGGCCGCUGCCUCAAUUGCAGCAGUGGCUCCAAGCGAGGGCGGUGGGCUGCACGUACGUUCAGCAACAAGACGCUGGUGCUGGAUGAGACCACCACGUCCACGGGCAGCGCAGGCAUGCGACUGGUGCUGCGGCGGGGCGUGCUGCGGGACGGCGAGGGAUACACCUUCACGCUCACGGUGCUGGGCCGCUCUGGCGAGGAGGAGGGCUGCGCCUCCAUCCGCCUGUCCCCCAACCGCCCGCCGCUGGGGGGCUCUUGCCGCCUCUUCCCACUGGGCGCUGUGCACGCCCUCACUACCAAGGUGCACUUCGAAUGCACGGGUUGGCAUGACGCGGAGGAUGCUGGCGCCCCGCUGGUGUACGCCCUGCUGCUGCGGCGCUGUCGCCAGGGCCACUGCGAGGAGUUCUGUGUCUACAAGGGCAGCCUCUCCGGCUACGGAGCUGUGCUGCCCCCGGGUUUCAGGCCACACUUCGAGGUGGGCCUGGCCGUGGUGGUGCAGGACCAGCUGGGAGCCGCUGUGGUCGCCCUCAACAGGUGAGCCAGGCCGUGGGAGGGCGCCCCCGAGACUGCCACCUGCUCACCACCCCCCUCUGCUCGUAGGUCUCUGGCCAUCACCCUCCCAGAGCCUAACGGCAGUGCAACGGGGCUCACAGUCUGGCUGCACGGGCUCACCGCUAGUGUGCUCCCGGGGCUGCUGCGGCAGGCCGAUCCCCAGCACGUCAUCGAGUACUCGCUGGCCCUGGUCACCGUGCUGAACGAGUACGAGCAGGCCCUGGACGUGGCGGCAGAGCCCAAGCACGAGCGGCAGCGCCGAGCCCAGAUACGCAAGAACAUCACGGAGACUCUGGUGUCCCUGCGGGUCCACACUGUGGAUGACAUCCAGCAGAUCGCUGCUGCGCUGGCCCAGUGCAUGGGGCCCAGCAGGGAGCUCGUAUGCCGCUCAUGCCUGAAGCAGACGCUGCACAAGCUGGAGGCCAUGAUGCGCAUCCUGCAGGCAGAGACCACCGCGGGCACCGUGACGCCCACCGCCAUCGGAGACAGCAUCCUCAACAUCACAGGAGACCUCAUCCACCUGGCCAGCUCGGACGUGCGGGCACCACAGCCCUCAGAGCUGGGAGCCGAGUCACCAUCGCGGAUGGUGGCGUCCCAGGCCUACAACCUGACCUCUGCCCUCAUGCGCAUCCUCAUGCGCUCCCGCGUGCUCAACGAGGAGCCCCUGAUGCUGGCGGGCGAGGAGAUCGUGGCCCAGGGCAAGCGCUCGGACCCGCGGAGCCUGCUGUGCUAUGGCGGCGCCCCAGGGCCUGGCUGCCACUUCUCCAUCCCCGAGGCUUUCAGCGGGGCCCUGGCCAACCUCAGUGACGUGGUGCAGCUCAUCUUUCUGGUGGACUCCAAUCCCUUUCCCUUUGGCUAUAUCAGCAACUACACCGUCUCCACCAAGGUGGCCUCGAUGGCAUUCCAGACACAGGCCGGCGCCCAGAUCCCCAUCGAGCGGCUGGCCUCAGAGCGCGCCAUCACCGUGAAGGCCGCUACCUGUCUGAGGAACCCGAGCCCUACCUGGCAGUCUACCUGCACUCGGAGCCCCGGCCCAAUGAGCACAACUGCUCGGCUAGCAGGAGGAUCCGCCCAGAGUCACUCCAGGGUGCCGACCACCGGCCCUACACCUUCUUCAUUUCCCCGGGGAGCAGAGACCCAGCGGGGAGUUACCAUCUGAACCUCUCCAGCCACUUCCGCUGGUCAGUGCUGGAGGUGUCCGUGGGCCUGUACACGUCCCUGUGUCAGUACUUCAGCGAGGAGGACAUGGUGUGGAGGACAGAGGGGCUGCUGCCCCUGGAGGAGACCUCGCCCCGCCAGGCCGUCUGCCUCACCCGCCACCUCACCGCCUUCGGCGCCAGCCUCUUCGUGCCCCCAAGCCAUGUCCGCUUUGUCUUUCCGGAGCCGACAGCGGAUGUAAACUACAUCGUCAUGCUGACAUGUGCUGUGUGCCUGGUGACCUACAUGGUCAUGGCCGCCAUCCUGCACAAGCUGGACCAGUUGGAUGCCAGCCGAGGCCGCGCCAUCCCCUUCUGUGGGCAGCGGGGCCGCUUCAAGUACGAGAUCCUCGUCAAGACAGGCUGGGGCCGGGGCUCAGGUACCACGGCCCACGUGGGCAUCAUGCUGUAUGGGGUGGACAGCCGGAGUGGCCACCGGCACCUGGACGGCGACAGAGCCUUCCACCGCAACAGCCUGGACAUCUUCCGGAUCGCCACCCCGCAUAGCCUGGGUAGCGUGUGGAAGAUCCGAGUGUGGCACGACAACAAAGGGCUCAGCCCUGCCUGGUUCCUGCAGCACAUCAUCGUCAGGGACCUGCAGACGGCACGCAGCGCCUUCUUCCUGGUCAAUGACUGGCUUUCGGUGGAGACGGAGGCCAACGGGGGCCUGGUGGAGAAGGAGGUGCUGGCCGCGAGCGACGCAGCCCUGUUGCGCUUCCGGCGCCUGCUGGUGGCUGAGCUGCAGCGCGGCUUCUUUGACAAGCACAUCUGGCUCUCCAUAUGGGACCGGCCGCCUCGUAGCCGUUUCACUCGCAUCCAGAGGGCCACCUGCUGCGUUCUCCUCAUCUGCCUCUUCCUGGGCGCCAACGCCGUGUGGUACGGGGCUGUUGGCGACUCUGCCUACAGCACGGGGCGUGUGUCCAGGCUGAGCCCGCUGAGUGUCGACACAGUCGCUGUUGGCCUGGUGUCCAGCGUGGUUGUCUAUCCCGUCUACCUGGCCAUCCUCUUUCUCUUCCGGAUGUCCCGGAGCAAGGUGGCUGGGAGCCCGAGCCCCACACCUGCCGGGCAGCAGGUGCUGGACAUCGACAGCUGCCUGGACUCGUCCGUGCUGGACAGCUCCUUCCUCACGUUCUCAGGCCUCCACGCUGAGGUGAGGGCUCUACUGGGGGUCCUGGGCUGGGCUGGGGGUCCUGCCGCCUUGGCGCAGCUUGGACUCAAGACACUGUGCACCUCUUAGCAGGCCUUUGCUGGACAGAUGAAGAGUGACUUGUUUCUGGAUGAUUC